rnacentral:rRNA from 1 species
UACAGAGACUGCAAGCGUUAUUCGGAUUCACUGGGCGUAAAGGGUGCGCAGGCGGUUGGGUGUGUCAGAUGUGAAAUCCCCGGGCUCAACCCGGGAACUGCGUCCGAUACUGGAAGGCUUGAAUCCGGGAGAGGGAUGCGGAAUUCCAGGUGUAGCGGUGAAAUGCGUAGAUAUCUGGAGGAACACCGGUGGCGAAGGCGGCAUCCUGGACCGGCAUUGACGCUGAGGCGCGAAAGCCAGGGGAGCAAACGGG